rnacentral:rRNA from 1 species
CCUACGGGAGGCAGCAGUGGGGAAUAUUGCACAAUGGGGGGAACCCUGAUGCAGCAACGCCGCGUGGGUGAAGAAGUACUUCGGUAUGUAAAGCCCUGUCAGCAGGGAAGAAAAUGACGGUACCUGACCAAGAAGCCCCGGCUAACUACGUGCCAGCAGCCGCGGUAAUACGUAGGGGGCAAGCGUUAUCCGGAUUUACUGGGUGUAAAGGGAGCGUAGACGGCAAGGCAAGUCAGAAGUGAAAGCCCGGGGCUCAACCACGGGACUGCUUUUGAAACUGUGUUGCUGGAGUGCAGGAGGGGUAAGCGGAAUUCCUAGUGUAGCGGUGAAAUGCGUAGAUAUUAGGAGGAACACCGGUGGCGAAGGCGGCUUACUGGACUGUAACUGACGUUGAGGCUCGAAGGCGUGGGGAGCAAACAGGAUUAGAUACCCGAGUAGUC